rnacentral:rRNA from 1 species
UACGUAGGGUGCAAGCGUUAAUCGGAAUUACUGGGCGUAAAGCGUGCGCAGGCGGUUUUGUAAGUCUGUCGUGAAAUCCCCGGGCUCAACCUGGGAAUUGCGAUGGAGACUGCAAGGCUAGAAUCUGGCAGAGGGGGGGUAGAAUUCCACGUGUAGCAGUGAAAUGCGUAGAGAUGUGGAGGAACACCGAUGGCGAAGGCAGCCCCCCUGGGGCCAAGAUUG